GGCGGCGGUGGCGGUGGUGGCGGUGGCGGCAGCGCCGACGAGCAAUUCUGUUUCCGUAAAAUGUGUCUGCAAAGUGAAAAGGCUCGAGAAAGUAAUAGCUCUGAAUUUUCAAAUACAUAUUCUUCUUUAAGCUAAACGACGGAGAGCAAAAGUUACGAUUUCACUCACAAAAUAUUCACAUUGGCCUCUGUCACCCCGUCAAAGCCGAUAAAAUAUAUGGAUGGACACAUACUGGAAGGAGGAAUGCUUAUGGCCGCAUCUGUCGAUGAUAAUACGUAUAACCGUGCGUUUCCAAGUUCUCUUACCUCUUUAUCGUAACUCCCAUCUAUCACCACCCCCAACUCCAAUUCCAUCUUAAUCUCAUCUCCUCUUACUUCCAUUUUUACUGUAAUGGAUUCGGAUUUUUAUAAUUGUUGCCUUUAUUUUCGCGAACGAAUUAUAAAGAAUCGAAACGCAAUUACUAAAUAAAUACGUUUCAUGGUACUUCAUUUUUAAAAGGUAACGUAAGAAACAAUAUGGCGCGCAUAAAAAAAUAUACGCAUUUAAAAACGCACAAAAGAUGACGAUGACAACGACGACAACAACGACAACAAAGACAACAACGACGACAACAACAAUGACAACAACGACAACAACGACAACGACACGACAACGACAACAACAAC